AACGAACGCUGGCGGCAUGCCUAACACAUGCAAGUCGAACGAGAUCCUUCGGGGUCUAGUGGCGCACGGGUGCGUAACGCGUGGGAAUCUGCCCUUAGGUUCGGAAUAACAGUUAGAAAUGACUGCUAAUACCGGAUGAUGACGUUAAGUCCAAAGAUUUAUCGCCUGAGGAUGAGCCCGCGUAGGAUUAGCUAGUUGGUGUGGUAAAGGCGCACCAAGGCGACGAUCCUUAGCUGGUCUGAGAGGAUGAUCAGCCACACUGGGACUGAGACACGGCCCAGACUCCUACGGGAGGCAGCAGUGGGGAAUAUUGGACAAUGGGCGCAAGACUGAUCCAGCAAUGCCGCGUGAGUGAUGAAGGCCUUAGGGUUGUAAAGCUCUUUUACCCGAGAUGAUAAUGACAGUAUCGGGAGAAUAAGCCCCGGCUAACUCCGUG
rnacentral:rRNA from 1 species